rnacentral:lncRNA from 1 species
CUCCAGAGGUUGAGAGCUAUUAGAUGUUAAAUAAUAAAAGGUAGUGUGGUAAACAUAUAAUAUGUUAGUUGGAUAAACUCUAAAUCCUAUAAAAGGAUAUUUGCUAUAUUGUAAUAAGUAAUCUUUCCAAUUCUAUUAUAAUCAAUGUCAAGUAUUUCUGAGAUGGUAUCAGUUUUCUAACUUCAUUGAUCGAUUUUGGAUUCCAGAUUUGCGAUUAUUUCUCUUCGCUGUGGAUUUGCAGAUCUGCUGGAAGUUGCAGAUUCAUCUGAGUUACUGUGAUUCCUCCCGCGAGCGCCUCUGUUUCCCGCGUUCGUGUCGGAUCUGCACUUGUCUUCCGCGUCGAUUCUUCUCAGGUUUGAUUUUAGAUUUGCAGAUUUUAAUUUUCAGAUCUUGAUUUAGGUAAUCUUAGAUCUUGAUUCUGUUAAUCUUAGAUCUUGAUUGCGAUUUUAAUCUUAAUUUUGAUUUGCAUGCGAUCUGAAAUACUGAUCGAGUUUUGAUUUCCGAUCUGAUCGAGUUUUGAUUUUUUUUCUGAUCGUGCGUGAUUGCGUCGGGUUUUUGGUCGAUUUUUUUUUUCCGAUCGUGCGUGAUUUUUUUUCCGAUCGUAGAUUUUCUGAUUGCGCGUUGGUUUUUUCUGAUCCGUUAUUUCUGAUCGCGCGUUGAUUACAUACGAUUUCCACUCUCGAUUUAGUUCAUACAGAAGUCGGAUUCCGUUUCGGAUUUUUGUCGAUCUCAUCUUCUGUUUGAUUACAGUUGAUUUUGCUCUUCCUUUCCGGUUUUUUCUCUUCCUUUCGGUUUAUUUUCAUCUUCUGUUCCGAUUUCCGAUUUUGCGAUUUUGCGUUUUUUAUAGAGAGUUUAGUUAUUACGUCUGUCAAGUAAUGCCCUUUAGAGUUUCUGAUUUAGUUUGAUUCCAGUUGAUAGUUGAUUUUACUUUCCGGAUAUGGGAUUUUUACUGGAUUUGAGUGAGAGUUAUUUCUGUGCGCAACUUGAUUGAUUCUUCUGUUGAAUGGAAUUGAAUUGCGUGGUUGCAAUUGCUUUGUAGUUGUUUUUCUUUUGGUAGUUGUUCUUUGAAAACUACAGGUUUUUUGUAGUUGUGUUCUGCAGGUUAGCAAUUACAGGUUAGAAUUUAUUUUUUUUGUAUUUUUUUUUAUCAUCUUCUCUGCUUGAAUUUUGAUUACAGGUUGUGAGUGCUAUUACAGGUUAACAAGUUUUUUUUUUUUUUUCUUUCUCUCUUCUUUCUCUUGGUUGCUUAUUAGGUGAUUAGUUGCGAUUGUUUAAUUUCAGAUUGAAUUUGUUUUGUUUUGUUGCUUAGUUUGUUUAGGUUGGUAUUUCUUUUUCUCCUUAGAUUGUUUGUUUGUUUCAUUUUUUUUAGUAAGAUUACUGAUAUAUCAAUAGUGAUAUUCAGUAAAUAAAUAUAUAAAAAAAAUCUUUAUCGCAUUUUAUUUGUGAUUCAUUUAGAAAGUUGCAGUAGUGAAAUUUGUUUUUUAUUUUCACUGCAAUGAAAUUUUUCCCGAUGGCAAAUUAUGAUAAGGCUACUCUCCCCGAUUCUCUAUAUAAAUGCCAAGUCUCCCACUGGAUUAGAACUCCGCUAGAAGGAGCAUUGACAUAUAUGUUUUGGAGAGGUCAAAUGAAAAACUUAUUCCGGUUGAAUCAUACUCUGAUAUUGUAGAUGACAAACAAGAAAUUCCCCUUGAAAAAAGAGGUGACGGCUCACCUAAUUCGGUUAGAAAAGAACUGGGCAAUAUUGGGAUGAUGGAUUCAAUCUUCAGUUGGACCGCCAAUGUUUUCAUUGGUAAUGAACCACAGUACGGCGUAUGAGUGUUGGAAGAAACUAGAAUUGCAUUUAUCACCAAGGAAGGCAGUACAUCAACAAGCAAUUCGGGAUGAACUAAGAAUUUUAAAGAUAAGGGAAGAUGAAUCGAUUAGGGAUUUCAUAAUCAAAGUAACAUCUUUAACUGAUUCUUUGGCAGCAACCGAUGAAGUUGUCACUGACAAGACAAAAAUAGAUUUUGUCACAGAUGGACUGGAUGCGGAUUUUCGUCCUUUUGUUUCGGGGUUACGUUCCCAACGAAAUUUACUUUAUGACGAGUUUGUACAACUAGUCAUUCAAGAAGAUAAGUACAUUUAUAGAAUGAAUUUGGCAAAUCCGGCAAACUCUGAUAUACCCGCUGCAUUUGUUGCAAAUUAUAAGAGAGGAAAAAAUCGUCAGAACAGAAACAGAGACUACUACUACAACAACAACAAUAGGCAAAAUUACAACAAUAAUAACAGAGACAGAUCAAACUACAACAACAGAUGGCGUCAGUCGACCAAUAACAGCUCAGGUAACAAUAGUUCAAUAUAGUUUGUCAACUCUGUGAAAAGGCAGGUCACAAUGCUAGGUCGUGCAAGAAAGGAUUGAAAGCUUUUGCUGCGGCCAUGGAAACAAAUGAAGAUGCUCCAGAAGGAAACUGGCUACUUGAUUCAGGAACGACUAAUCACAUGACUCCUGACUUGGAAGCUCUUUCUGACGUUCAAGAAUAUUCUGGUAUGAAUAAUAUUACGAUUGGUAAUGGUUUAGGUUUAAAAUUUUUACAUAUAGGAACUGCUAGAUUAAAGUCAAACAGUGGAGAGAUUCCAUUAAGGAAUACUCUUUGUGUUCUUGAUAUGAAAAUGAACUUAUUAUCCAUAAGAUCAAUGGCCAAAGAUUUAAAAUGUAGUUUCAUUUUAAAUGAAUCUGAAUUCAUUAUCCAAGACGAUGAAAGUGGUGAGGAUUUAAUCAAUGGUAAAAGCCAUGGAGGCUUAUACUAUCUAAACUCAUCAAACAUAUAUGAAAUUAAGAAGUUGGCAGCAACUUCUAAGUUAACAAUAAAUUCAACAGAAUUAUAGCAUAGAAGGUGUGGACACCCUUCAGAUCAAGUACUGUUAAAACAUCAUGAAAUUAAUCAUAAAAAAUUAAAACAAAAUUGUAUACAUUGUCAUCUAAAUAAAAUGAAAAAGAAACCAUUUAAUUGUAGGGGAAAAUAUAAUAAUAUAUCGUUAGAAAUACUUCAUAUGGACGUAUGGGGCCCAGCUCCAACUGCAUCAAUCAAUGAAGAUAAAUACAAUCUCUUAAUUAUUGAUGAAUUCUCUAGAUUUUGUUGGUUUUUCCCUUUGAAAAUAAAAGAUCAAGUAUUUGAAACUUUCAAAAGAUUUCAAAUAAUGAUAGAAAAAUCAUCAGAACAUACUUGAUGAAGCACGGAAUCUGCUACCAGUAGGCUCGCGGGGUUGCGAGGAGGGCCGGAGGCUUUGGAGUCCACGACGCGCGCUCUACGUCAAUAUACCUGCAGAAUAGGAGGGGAAUCGGCGACUCCCUUGGGAGUAGGCGAUUCGGGCUCCUUGGAUUGCUCUGGUUGGAGUGUGACACGUGCUCCGCACCGUGGAAGCCUUUCCGGGGGUCCGGCAUAUAGCGACGGAACCCUAUUCCUUGUUUGAAGGGCGUUGCUGGGAGUGACUGACGUAAUCAGGCAUGUCUCACCAAUACUAUUAAAAUAAUACAAACAGAUGAAGGUGGAGAAUUUUGCAAUCAGAAAUUUAAAUUUUUUUGUAAUGAAUUAGGAAUUUUUCAUAGAUUUUUUUCACCUUAUACUCCUGAACAGAAUGGUCUUGUAGAAAGAAGACAUGGCCAGAUAAUUGGUACAGUCAGGUGUUUUUUUCCACAAUUUGAAGUACCUAAACAAUAUUGGACAGAGACAUGUUCAGCUGCUAUCUAUUCAAUAAAUAGACUUCCUUCAAAACAAUUAAGUUUUAAAUCACAUUUUUCUGCUCUAUAUAAAAAAGACUCAGAUUUAAAUUACUUAAGAGUGUUUGGAUCAUUAUGCUUUCCGUUAAUACCUAAGAAUUUUAGAAACAAAUUUGAACCAACAUCAAAUUAUUGUUGUUUUCUUGGACACUCGCCAGUGCAUAAAGCAUAUAAAUGUUUAAAACUUAAGGACUCAACAAUCAUCAUAUCUAAACAUGUUCAGUUCUAUGAAGAUGUUUAUCCAUUCAAAGAUUACAAAAUAAACACUUCAAAAAAAGAAAUCACGACGAAAGAAUUUUUACAUUUACCUAUAUCAGGUAAUAGAGAUAUAGUUAUAGAAUCAAAUACUUAAGCUCCUAUCAUUCAACAGACAGAUCAUGGUAGUAACAACACAGUUGAUGAGAACACACAGACUGAAGAAAGUGUCAAUUCUGGAAACAAUAUUUCCGAACAACAAACGAUUUCAAGUAGUUUGUCAAACAGUACUUCUACAACAUCUGAACAAAAUAACACAGAAGUGGUAUCUUCUGAAAACACAGUAGAAGUAACAUUUGAAAACACAGACUCUGUUGAAACAAGUCAGUAAGAGAAUUUCAAAAUCACACAGAAGAGUUAAGGAGAACUCAAAGGUCUUUAACAUUCCCAAAGAAAUAUAACAUUUAUGAAGUAAAUUUACCCAAGGCAUUGAUUGCUGAGGUAAUUGAAAACAACACCUUGACUCCUAAAAAUUUCAAAGAUGCCAUAAAAAUACCUCACUGGAAAUAAGCUAUGGAUAAAGAAUACAUGACGUUAAUAGAAAAUAAUACUUGGAAUCUAAUUCCACCAGAUAAGAAAGUAAAUUUAAUAGGAACCAAGUGGGUAUUCAAAAUUAAAAAGAAAGCUGAUGGGAGUUUAGAAAGAUACAAAACCAGAUUAGUGGUGCAAGGUUUUAAACAAACUAAGGACAUAGAUUAUGGACUAAUCUAUAGUCCAGUUGUAAAAUCAUCAACAGUAAGAAUAUUAAUAUCACUUACUAUAAAUAGAAAUUAUAAGCUAAGGCAAAUAGAUGUUAAAAAUGCCUUCUUACAAGGAGAGCAGUUAGUUGAAACUGUAUACAUAGCACAACCACCUGGUUUUGCUAAAAUAAAAUAUUCAGACCAUAUAUGCAAGUUAAAUAAAACAAUUUAUGGGUUUAAAUUAUAAGAAUAUGCUGAAAGUUCAGGGUAAAAUAUGCAAUUUACCACUGAACAGGACUAAGGAUCAGACUGUAAUAAAAACAAUCAUAAGGUCAUGACAUAACUGAAUAAACUGAUAGUUAUAAACUAUCAGGGUGUUAUUCAUAAAGUUUUCAAAUAAAUCGUUAUAAGGACUGAAAUGUAAUAAACGAUUGUUUUUAUUAAAAUAACUAAUUUUGUUAUAAGAUUUUACUAUGCAGGCAAUUUGGACCGUGACUCAUAAAACGAGUUAAAGAAAACGCAAGGUCUAAAGUGCAAUAGUUUCAAUAAAUCUGAGAUGGACCAAUCACGAUUGAGGAGAAGAUUUAUAGUUAGUUUUGAAUUGAUUAAUUAAGUUGUUAAAACUUUUGUAAUAAAUAAGAAAGUGUAA